rnacentral:lncRNA from 1 species
CUGGCUCACCAAGUUUGUUCCCAGACCGAACUGAGGGCCAGGCUGUUUAUUCUUGCAGCCCAAUAAUGAGAUGCAGAUGAACUGGUAAAGAAGAGAGUUUAUUCUGUAACCAGGUACAGGGAGAAGGCCAGGAAAAUGUAGCCAGACCAACUCAAAAUUACAAAGUUUUCCAGCGCUGAUAUACCUUCUAAGCUAUAUGUCUGUGUGGAAGUGUGCGUGUAUCUAAAGACAUAAGUGAUUAACCUCUUCGAAUCCAAUCCAGAGGCAGGUCUGAGUUUUGAAGACAUUUAUCUGGACCCUCAAUAAAUUUACUUAAUCUAGAUGGGUCUAGGUGCCAGC